rnacentral:rRNA from 1 species
UGGGGAAUUUUGGACAAUGGGGGAAACCCUGAUCCAGCCAUCCCGCGUGUGCGAUGAAGGCCUUCGGGUUGUAAAGCACUUUUUGCAGGAAAGAAACGUCAUGGGUUAAUACCCCGUGAAACUGACGGUACCUGCAGAAUAAGCACCGGCUAACUACGUGCCAGCAGCCGCGGUAAUACGUAGGGUGCAAGCGUUAAUCGGAAUUACUGGGCGUAAAGCGUGCGCAGGCGGUUCGGAAAGAAAGAUGUGAAAUCCCAGAGCUCAACUUUGGAACUGCAUUUUUAACUACCGGGCUAGAGUGUGUCAGAGGGAGGUGGAAUUCCGCGUAUAGCAGUGAAAUGCGUAGAUAUGCGGAGGAACACCGAUGGCGAAGGCAGCCUCCUGGGAUAACACUGACGCUCAUGCACGAAAGCGUGGGGAGCAAACAGG